rnacentral:tRNA from 1 species
GGGGAUGUAGCUUAGUAGUAAAGCACUUGCCUAGCAUGUGUGAGGCUUUGGGUUUACAGCAUCCCCU